rnacentral:rRNA from 1 species
UACGUAGGUGGCAAGCGUUGUCCGGAAUUACUGGGCGUAAAGGGCUCGUAGGCGGCCAACUAAGUCAGACGUGAAAUCCCUCAGCUUAACUGGGGAACUGCGUCUGAUACUGGAUGGCUUGGAUUUGGGAGAGGGAUGCGGAAUUCCAGGUGUAGCGGUGAAAUGCGUAGAUAUCUGGAGGAACACCGGUGGCGAAGGCGGCAUCCUGGACCAAUAUUGACGCUGAGGAGCGAAAGCCAGGGGAGCAAACGGG